rnacentral:misc_RNA from 1 species
UCAAACUUGGUCAUUUAGAGGAAGUAAAAGUCGUAACAAGGUUUCCGUAGGUGAACCUGCGGAAGGAUCAUUAACAGUGCCCCAGCCUUGUGCUGGUGGACCGCACCUCUACCCUCUUCUGGGGGUUAUGUGUCAACCAAUUGUGAAACUUCUACCUUUGCUUCGGCAGCGCUCUCAGCGGGAAACCGCUGGAGGGGUAAGGCUGCCAGAAGCCCAUUACAAAACUAGUUGAUGAAAUGUCAUGCUGUCUGAUAACCACUAUUUGAGAAAUCAAAUUAUAUUAAAACUUUCAGCAACGGAUCUCUUGGUUCUCGCAUCGAUGAAGAACGCAGC